UCAUUGAAGACUCAGUGGACCACUCCAGAAAUGCCAUCUUGAUUGUACUUCAGAAUGUCUACCGUAACUUCCAUAGUAAGUUUCGUCGGCAGUCGGCAUUGUUGACAUCAACGAAAGACAGUGGCCGCACACCAUCAGGUGGGCCGUAAGUUUUUGUACCAUUAGUAGUAGUAAAAAUGAAAUAAAAUAAAGUCCAUUCAAUUCCAUGUCUAUUGUAAAGCUAUUAAUACCCCGUAAACAGUGCUGGAUUAAGCAAGCGCAGAGCCCGUAGCAAAUUAUUUCAAAGAGCCCUUGAUCUACUAUAGGUUCUUAAGUAUAAAGUGGUAAAAAAACACUGUGUCGGGUAAGAGUGCUUGCAUACGUCAGACUUUUUGAAGAGCUGAUUAUCAGGCUGAUUGAAAUUCUACACGUUUAUACAAACAACUUUUUCUUAAUAAGUCACUCAAAAAAUUAAGCUCGGGCAGAGAUGAGUGGGUUUAAAUAUGCGGGGCCCCCGUUAGCUUGGGGCCCGUAGCAAUUGCUACUCUUGCUAUAUGGUUAAUCCGGCACUGCCCGUAAAGUUGUACAGACUCCCGAAGAUUAUUUUAAUGCAAAGCAUAGAAUAACAGAAUAACAAAGAAAUCCACAAAAAUGACAGUAAUAGGAGCAUAGCAAUAAUAAUAAACAAUACCAAUCAGUAAUUAUGAAUACGGUUCUUCGCGGACUCUCCCAAAAAGGUCAUAAAACUUUCAGUAAGCUCCAACCUUUUGAACAAUUUAAACUAAGAGAUUUUUCAUCUGCAUUUAUGAGCUGUUUUAAUGUUAUUCCACUUUACUUUUCAGACAAUAGACGAGAACCAAGAAUAUGAUUCGAGUUUUGUUAUUUGUUUGUAUGGCAGUAUUCCCUUUGCUUAUCCGACGAAUACGUAAAAAAAAACAAAAAUGGACAUUGUCAAAAGUGUCAAAAAGAAAAUUGAAUGAAGGGAAAUUCGGGAUAGCGGGCGUACAAUUAAAGCGAAUUUCGAAUCCUUCAUUUUAAAUGUUAUUUAGAAUAAACAAUACUGUCUAUAGUGCAAUAGAGUUUUACAUCAGGUAAAAUGCAGAAGCUAUUUUCGUUAGUUAAAGUGGCUAAUAGCUUAAUAGGAGGGAAUGUACUACCAAUAUUAAAUAGGAUUUCUCAGCCUUCUGUUACAAAUUUCGUAAAACCUGUGAUCCCAUUAGUCACGCAAAUUUCGGGUAUAAAAAUUAAAGGUCGCGUACGGAGACGUUGCAGGUCGUGUUAUUUUGUGUUUCGAGAUGAGAGAGUUUAUAUUAUGUGUUCAAAGUUUCCAAGACACAAACAAAUGUCAAUGAAACCAAAGCCACAUAACACAUGGAUUUUGACACAAGCGAGCCAGAGUCCAGUUAGACCCUGGUAAUUAAGAGUGCUUAUGGAUUAAUUAAUAUAUUAUGUAUGUACAAUGUAAUUUAGUUUCUAUAGAUAAUAAAAUCAAAAAUGCAGAA